AUACUGAGGAGGCGAACGUUAAUCAUUAAUGGCUUAAAGGAUCCGUAGAACGAAAAAAAAGAAUAUAGAGUUAAAAGAAAUAAAUAAUGUAUAAUUAUAAUGAGAGAUGAAAUGCAAUGAAAAUAAUUAGACAGCUAAAACUGAAGAGAAUAUUUAUAAUUUAACUGACGUUGAGGGAUGAAAGCAUAAGUAAUAAACCGGAUUAGAUACCCGAGUAAUUUAUGCUGUAAACGAUGAAUACUAAUAUAAAAAAAAUAUAAAAAAAGCGAAAGUAAAGUAUUCCGCCAGGUGAGUAUAUUCGCAAGAAUGAAAUCCAAGACAAUAGACGGUUACAGGUGUAGGCAGUGGAGCAUGUUAUUUAAUUCGAUAAUCCCCGAUAAAUCUUACCAUUAUUUGAAUAUAAUUUAAUUAAUAAAAAUUUUUUAAUUAUUUAAUACAAAUGUUACAUCGUUGUUUUAAGUUUGUGCUUUAAGGUUAUGAUUAACUUCAUAAACAGACAAAAUUCCAUAUAUUAAAAAUAAAAUCUAAUUAAUAUAUUAAUUCUUUGAUUUAAGAUAAAGAAUUAUAUAAUGGAACUACAACAAAUCAUGAUGACUUUAAUAUAAUGGGCUAAAGACGCAAUACAAAAUAUUAUUAAUAAAAUUAAAUUAAAUACAAAUAUUUAAAUAAUUAAUUUAAAUUAAUAUAUUAAAUAUAUUUUAAUAAAUAUAUUUUAUGUGAAUUAAUUUCUGAAAUUCGUUAUUAUGAAAAAGGAAUUGCUAGUAAUCAUAAUUCAUUAAAUUAUGGUGAAAUUUAUCCCUGUUUCGUACUAAUUACUCAUCAUUCGCCAGAAAGUGUUAUAAUUUUAAAUGUAUUAUUUUUAUCUAUUAUUUACCUUUAUAAUAAUUUAUAUUUAUAUACUCUUUAAUUAUUCGCUGACUGGUGAGAAGUUGAAAUACAGUUACUGUA
rnacentral:rRNA from 1 species